rnacentral:rRNA from 1 species
GACUACCGGGGUAUCUAAGCCUGUUUGCUCCCCACGCUUUCGUGCAUGAGCGUCAGUGUUGACCCAGGGGGCUGCCUUCGCCAUCGGUGUUCCUCCACAUCUCUACGCAUUUCACUGCUACACGUGGAAUUCCACCCCCCUCUGCCACACUCGAGUCCCACAGUCACAAACGCAGUUCCCAGGUUAAGCCCGGGGAUUUCACAUCUGUCUUAUGGAACCGCCUGCGCACGCUUUACGCCCAGUAAUUCCGAUUAACGCUCGCACCCUACGUAUUACCGCGGCUGCUGGCACGUAGUUAGCCGGUGCUUCUUCUUCAGGUACCGUCAUUAGUAGCCAGUAUUAGUGGCCACCGUUUCGUUCCUGCUGAAAGAGCUUUACAACCCGAAGGCCUUCUUCACUCACGCGGCAUGGCUGGAUCAGGGUUGCCCCCAUUGUCCAAAAUUCCCCACUGCAGCCUCCCGUAGG